rnacentral:rRNA from 1 species
GAUGAACGCUGGCGGCGUGCUUAACACAUGCAAGUCGAACGGGAAAUAUUUCAUUGAGACUUCGGUGGAUUUGAUUUAUUUCUAGUGGCGGACGGGUGAGUAACGCGUGGGUAACCUGCCUUAUACAGGGGGAUAACAGUCAGAAAUGGCUGCUAAUACCGCAUAAGCGCACAGAGCUGCAUGGCUCAGUGUGAAAAACUCCGGUGGUAUAAGAUGGACCCGCGUUGGAUUAGCUAGUUGGGGGGGUAACGGCCCACCAAGGCGACGAUCCAUAGCCGGCCUGAGAGGGUGAACGGCCACAUUGGGACUGAGACACGGCCCAGACUCCUACGGGAGGGAGCAGUGGGGAAUAUUGCACAAUGGGGGAAACCCUGAUGCAGCGACGCCGCGUGAAGGAAGAAGUAUCUCGGUAUGUAAUCUUCUAUCAGCAGGGAAGAUAGUGACGGUACCUGACUAAGAAGCCCCGGCUAACUACGUG